rnacentral:rRNA from 1 species
UAGGGAAUUUUCGGCAAUGGACUAAAGUCUGACCGAGCAACGCCGCGUGAGUGAAGAAGGUUUUCGGAUCGUAAAACUCUGUUGUUAGAGAAGAACAAGGACGUUAGUAACUGAACGUCCCCUGACGGUAUCUAUCCAGAAAGCCACGGCUAACUACGUGCCAGCAGCCGCGGUAAUUCGUAGGUGGCAAGCGUUGUCCGGAUUUAUUGGGCGUAAAGCGACCGCAGGCGGUUUCUUAAGUCUGAUGUGAAAGCCCCCGGCUCAACCGGGGAGUGUCAUUGGAAACUGGGAGACUUGAGUGCAGAAGAGGAGGAUGGAAUUCCAUGUGUAGCGGUGAAAUACGUAGAUAUAUGGAGGAACACCAGUGGCGAAGGCGGCUCUCUAGUCUGUAACUAACGCUGAGGCUCGAAAGCGUGGGGAGCAAACAGG